UGCACGUCUAAGUACACGCCGCAAACAAUGGCGAAACCGCGAAUGGCUCAUUAAAUCAGUUAUGGUUCCUUGGUAUGAAGCCCUGUUACUUGGAUAACUGUGGCAAUUCUAGAGCUAAUACAUGCAAUGAAACUCGGCCCUUCGGGGAAGAGUGCUUUUAUUAGACCAACCAAUGCGGGCCUCGCGCCCGGACGUUGGUGGUGACUCUGGAUAACUUUCUGACGAUCGCACGGGUCCAUCCCGGCGACGCAUCUUUCAAGUGUCUGCCUUAUCAACUUUCGAUGGUAGGCCACGAGCCUACCAUGGUUGUAACGGGUGACGGGGAAUCAGGGUUCGAUUCCGGAGAGGGAGCCUGAGAAACGGCUACCACAUCCAAGGAAGGCAGCAGGCACGCAAAUUACCCACUCCCGGCCCGGGGAGGUAGUGACGAAAAAUAACGAUACGGGACUCUAUUGAGACCCCGUAAUCGGAAUGAGAACGUUCCAAACACCCUAUCAAAUGCAAUCGGAGGGUAAGCCAGGUGCCAGCAUCCGCGGUAACACCUGUUCCGAUAGCGUAUAUUACAGUUGCUGCGGUUAAAAAGCUCGUAGUUGGAUCUCAGUUACAGACGUGUGGUCCGCCUAAACGGCGGUAACUACACGUGCUGUAUCAGCCAGCCGGUUUCUCUCGAUGAUCUUCACCGGUUGUCUUGAGUGACCGGCAACAUUACUUUGAAUAAAUCAAAGUGCUCAACGCAGGCUACACGCCUAUAUAAUGGUGCAUGGAAUAAUGGAAUAGGACCUCGGUUCUGUUCUGUUGGUCUACCGAACACGAGGUAAUGAUUAAGAGGAACUGACGGGGGCAUUCGUACUGCGGCGCUAGAGGUGAAAUUCUUGGACCGCCGCAAGACGAACUACAGCGAAAGCAUUUGCCAAGAAUGUUUCCAUUAAUCAAGAACGAAAGUCAGAGGCUCGAAGGCGAUCAGAUACCGCCCUAGUUCUGACCGUAAACGAUGCCAGCCAGCGAUCCGGCUGUGUUCCUAAAAUGACACGCCGGGCAGCCUCCGGGAAACCAAAGCCUUUGGGUUCCGGGGGAAGUAUGGUUGCAAAGCUGAAACUUAAAGGAAUUGACGGAAAAGCACCACCAUGAGAUGGGUUCUGCGGCUCAAUUUGACUCAACACGGGAUAUUUCACCCAGCCCGGACACAGGAAGGAUUGACAGACUAAGAGACCUUUCUCGAUUCUGUGGGUAGUGGUGCACGGCCGUUUGUAGUUGGUGGAGUGAUUUGUCUGGUUAAUUCCGUUAACGAGCGAGACUCCAGCCUGUUAAAUAGGAGACCCGAUCGUCUGAAGUCGGGCUUUCUUCUUAGAGGGACAAGCGGCGUUUAGCCGCACGAAAUGGUGCAAAAACAGGUCUGUAUGCCCUUAGAUGUCCGGGGCUGCACGCGCGACACAAUGAAGGAAGCAGCGUGUGCUCUCCCUGUCCGGCAGGACCGGGUAACCAUCUCAAACUCCUUCGUGCUUGGGAUAGGGGAUUGUAACUAUUCCCCUUGAACGAGGAAUCUCUAGUAAGCGCGGAUCAUUAAUCCGUGCUGAAUAUGUCCCUGCUUUUUGUGCACACCGCCCGUCGCUACUACUGAUUGAGCGUCGUAGUGAGGUCUUCGGACCGGUGGUCGGAGCGGUCUUCGGAUCGCGCCGGCGCGCCGGAAAGACGAUCGAACUUGGCCGCUUAGAAGAAGUAAA
rnacentral:rRNA from 1 species